AAGGAGCACCACGAGAAACACUCCAAUUGGUGGAGUGUGAGCCGUGAGGGGUUCUCGUCUGUAGUGGACGAGGGCCGGGUGCACAACAACAGGCAAUCGCCAGACACACUAUUGGGCCCUGAGACAACACUCGGCCGACUUUGGUCGACGUGGUGUCCCUCCAUCUUGGUGGUGGGGUGUGGUGUUUGAGCAUUGAAUAGUGGUUGCGAGCAUCUAGACGGAUGCGACGCCCUCGGGCUGCGUGUUCGUCAAAAAUGUGUAAUUUUUCUUUUGGUUUUUG
rnacentral:misc_RNA from 1 species